GUGCCAGUGGCACAAUGGGUCAGUGCAUCUGACUGUUAACCCGAAGGUUGAUGGUUCAAGCCCAUCCAGGGAUA